ensembl:lncRNA
GUCCACACCUCUGAGUGUUAAAUACAACACUGUUGAGUGUGAAAUUAACACUUUUGACAGUGUUAUGUUUAAAAGUAACCUAGUCAGUUUUGAAGAUUAACAAUGGCUAACACUGUGCAGUGCUGAUUUUCUAACACUGGAAAAUAACUCAAAAUGUUAGAAAUAUUCCAGUGUCUAUUUAAUGCUGUUUGCUGUGCAUACUUGUGUAGAAUUUUUAGGUAUCUGUACUUAGACUAUAUAUUUUUUUCUAACUGCUUUUUACUUUUACUGCCUACAUUUUCAAACAAAUAUCUGUACCUUCUACUCCUUACUUAUCAAAACAAGCUUGUUAUUUAUUGGGGUUGAUAUUUCACGCUAAACAAAUUAAAGUGUAAUCAGUAACGCAUGAAAGGCAAGCCUUUUUAUUAAUCAGAGGAUGUCUCAUAAAAAGAGAUGACGUGUGCCAAAGUCAUGGCUUAAAAAUGGGAUUUUUUUUUUUUUUUUUUUUUUUUUGGCACAAUACCUGAACACCUGCAGUUGUUCAGGUAUUGUGGUACUUUGGCAUUUAGCUAGCACUACUGAAGCAUAAGGGGAGUGACUUCUUUUUGUUUUGUGUGGGGUUUUUUUUUUUUUUUCUUUUAAGUUGCAGGUAAUUUCAAAUGAAACAAACACCCAACCUGUUUGUUCAGUUUUUUUUGUUUUGUUUUUUCCACACAGUGUGUUGCUAAAUAAAGGUCCUGCUGCUGUAUUUAACAGGGAGAGAAAAAGAGCUAACUCCAUUCAGUACGACUGUACACAUUUCCCAGUUUACAGGCAAAGUCACCCUCUACAAUGUAGGCAACAGAGGUUUGUUUUUGUGUUUUGUUUUUUUUUAACUUUCUUACUCGAAGUACAUUUCAGAGCCUGUCCUUUACUUUUACUUGAGUGAGACAAGUCAGUUAAGCACAUAAACAGUCCAUAACCUACUGGCCAAGCUGGGUGAAUUCCAUUGAAUGGUUCCUAUAUUACACUUUUCUACUCAAGCACUCAAUGUGCUUUAAACAACAUGUCUCAUUCACUUACACAUUCAUACAGGCUGUUUGUUUGUUCUCCUUUAUUGACGCGCUUUUUAUCUGACAUUCCGACACCUUCACUGUCGGGUGUAACUCAGGGUUUAAACCUACAUGGGAACCGCCAAACAAACGUGUGUGUAUUUAAGGGCUUCGAUACACACAUGAGGUAAUCGGGGAGCUGGAACACACCAGAGACCACAGGUGAACAUGAUCAGAAAACAAUGUACACAGCACAAGACACUAUCAAAAAAAGACACGAAAUAAAGAGACAGAGACCCAGACAUACAAACUUGAUGCAAAGGAGUAUGGAGUUGGGUCAGGGAACAAGUCCUGACUUUUUACUUUUUCAUUGUGGAUAUUCG